rnacentral:lncRNA from 1 species
UUAAUUGGAGAGUCAAAGUAUAUAUUUUUGAAAAUUAAAUUUUUAAAUAUUUUUAGCUAAAUAUAAAAAAUAAUUUUUUAUUUAUUUAAUAAUUAAGCAUAUAUUAAGUUAGAAAGGGAAUGUCAAGAUACUUUAAUUAAUUUUCCAUGAUAAAUUUGUAGGAAAAUGAAAAUUUGAAAUAAGAUUAAUAAACAUAUCUACAAAAUCGAAAGACAAUAAACCCUCGGAUCAAUUUUGAAUUUAAUUGUAUAAAUAAGAGUAGUUUUUAUGGUGUUACUAUCAUUUUUCCACGACUCAUCAUUUUUGUAGCAUUUAAUAAGCUCGUAUAAUUGUUCUAAUUUUGCAAAUGGAUAAAAAUUUGUAGAGUAACUAAAAUUUAAAUUAGGGAUAAAAUUGACAAAAAAAAUUGAUGUGAGGACUACCAAAAUCUCACGUUCUCUCUUAUAUAUAGUAGUAAAGUAAUAUAUAUGAAAAGUGAUAAUCAAGAAUUUGAAGGGUAAUUAUGACUUUUUACGGAUUUAUCUCAAGGAUAAAUUAAGGUGGGAUUAUUAUACCACCAAAUGUAUGGGAUAACUUAUCUCGAAUUAGGCAACCAAACAAAGUACUAAAAUUUUUAUUUGAAAAUUAUUAUUUUAUCCCAAAACUAUUUGUAUUAGUACCUCACACCAAACGAUCCCUUAAAAUAUUUGUUUGAUGGUUAUAAAAUCAUGUUAUGAGAUGAACUGCUUAGUUGUUGUCAAAUUUAUUAAAGAAGAAGUUAUAUGAUGUCAUCCUCUUAGGACCAUUAUUGAAGACUAGUUAACUUAUUCGCGCUCCGCGAGCAUAAAAAAGACCAUAAAUUUAAGAUAUAUUAACUCCAAAAUUCUAUAUGUCAUAAACUUUAAUAAUUUUUAAAUUAAACAUAAUUGUAAAAUUAUAAAACAUCAUAUAAUGCUAAGAACACUAACUAUUUUGAGAAAUAUACAUAUGACAAUAUAAACGAAAAUUAUUUCUUUAUCGAUUUUUAUCUCUGUUUCAAGGAACAUUGAAGAUUACCUAUUUUUUUUACAUAUCAUGUAUCAAACUAUCAAUUAAAGAACAAUUCAAUUAAAUAUACUUCAAACUCCUAAUUGUGUGACCUACAAAAACUUUUCAAAAAAGUUAGGAAGAAAAGGAUUUAUCAUGAUUUAAUUUACAAUCAAAUGGCAGGACCAUAUCUCCAAAUUAAUUACUUCUCUACGUAUAUAUAUUUUUUUUUUACAGAAAGUAGAAAACAAUAAGGAGAAAAUACCAAUGUUAAAAGUUUAUCAGUUCACAUGAAUUUUUGUUAAAUAAUUUCUCACCUUAUAUAUAUUAGAGACAAUAUAUCAUAGUGUGUUUCUUGUGGCUACGCCUUUUACCUAUUAAAUUUUUGGGCAAAAAUUCUUUCUUAAAUUUUCAUUGUUUCAUCCUCUUAUAUCACUUCUAGCCAAUUCGAUAGAGCAACAAAAUAACGAAAAAGAACAUUUAAUGACUACAUCAUGACAAAUGACACGAUAACACAAAAAGAGAAACUAAAAAUAAGUAUUGAUCAAAUCACAAAGAACUACUUAUUACACAGAAAACAUACAUAUUAGGAAGAAAAUAUUUGCGUACAUAUUCAUAGAACACCUUCUAAAUUAAGACAACAAACAAACAAUAGCUAGCAAUACUUUGAGGAUCAACAUCUUGUCGGAUCAUUAGAAUGACCUCAACCUUUGUGUCUCUCUCAAAUGCAUGCAAAUGGGUUUUCAUUCAUUUUACAAAAAUUUGUCAUAUCUUUUCAAGAAGAUAAGCAACAUUUCUUGGAAGAGCAAUUUGAUAUGAAUUUUGCAAAAUCAGAUAUCAGAUAAAACAAAUAAAAAAAAAAGCCAAUCAAAGAGACAUAAAAGAUGAAGAAUGUGAAAAAAUGAAAUAGAAUGAUCAUUAUAUAUAGCUCAAAAAAGAUUUUUAUUAAUGUGAUUUUAAUGUGUCAUAAACUCGUAUAUUAAAUAAUUGAGAGUUAUGAAUAUGAAAGGAUUGAGAGUUAAUAUUAUAAAUAUCAAUUAAGGAGAUGAUUUUGAAAAAUUAAAUAAUUGAAAGAAAUGUGAGAAAAAGUUUCAAAAAAGUUAUGAUUUAAAAUAUUGAUUAUUCUUUAUGAUAUGUCGCUGAAUCUCAUUCUACAAGCCUCACUGAAUUAAUUACUAACAAUUCAAAUUUGUGACAAAGUGAUUAAAAAACUUUCUUGUAAAAAUAAUAUACAUAAAUUUAACAUAAAAAUAAAAAAGAAUUUUACUACAUGAAAUAUUUUCUCGUGAAACUAUAUAUAUCUUCUCACCCUUACCUAACAAAGAAAAUAAUUAGACAUCUAUAAAGUUUCACGAAGAGAAUUUUAAUUUUCUCAACUUGCAUAUAUUUUACGCAAUAAAAAUAUUUUUUAUAUAGAUUAAUAAAUAAAAAAUACCUUCUCUUAUAAGUUGCAUAUAGUGAGCUAUUCUUAUAAACAUUUUAAAUGAAAAAAAAUUAUAAAUGUCAAAACAAAUAAUUUCAUCCUGACCUUUGCUUAAUAUAAUAUCUAUUGUGACAACAACUAAAUGAGCAUUAUUUAUAAGAUGUAAUUGUCAUAAAGAAAGAAUAGCAAUUAAAAUAGAAUUAUGGGUGAUAAUAAAUUUUUCUUGUCAUGUAAAAUUAAGAAUAAAAGAACUUUCAGUCCCAAUAAUAAAAACAUUUAUUUUUGGAUGAGUGCUGAUUUAAGUUAAUGAAGAGAAGAAUUAAGAUUUCUCUUUUGAAAAAAAAAAUGAAUAGACAGAGAAAGAGAGACAACCAACUUCAUAAAAUUAUUUCGAUCUUAACCCAACAUUUUUUUAUUCUUUCAAAUUGUAAGUUCAAUAUAUCCCUACAAAUAAAAAAUAAAAUUUUUUUAAAUAGUUAAUUAGCGAAAAAAUUUAUAAAAUAUAAAAAAUUGAGGACUCCAAUCUUACACAUCAAUAAACAACUUUCUUAUGAAUUAAAAUGUAGUUUAAAAAUUCUAAAUAAUUUUAUAUUCCCACAUUCGAUCAAUAAAUUUAUUAAAAUUUAUCUAUAUAAUUGUGAAAAGAUACAUAGAUAUUUUUUUAAGUAGCACAUGUAUAUUCAUUGAGUCUUUCUCAGCUUCUACUGUAAAAAAUAAUUUAAUCAUUUUACACAAAAAGUGAACCCCACCUAAAAAAAAAAAAGGAAGAAGAAGAAUAGUUAAACUAAAAGUUAAUCUGGUGCACUAAAUUUUUUGCAUGUGCAGGUUUUGAGAAGAAUAGUUAAUUAACUAAUAUAAAAACUUUAAAGAAUAUUACAUGAAAAUUUGAAGAGGAAAGAAGAACU